ensembl:miRNA
GAGGCAGCAAGAAAAAUGAGGGACUUUCAGGGGCAGCUGUGUUUUACUAACCCAGUCAUAAUGCCCCUAAAAAUCCUUAUUGUUCUUGCAAUGUUCAA